GACAGAGGUGCCAAGCGUUAGGCGGAAUCACUGGGCUUAAAGCGUGUGUAGGCGGAUCGUUAAGUACCUUGUGAAAUCCCACGGCUCAACCGUGGAACUGCUGGGUAUACUGGCGAUCUUGAGCCACCUAGGGGCGAGCGGAACAAGCGGUGGAGCGGUGAAAUGCGUAGAUAUCGCUUGGAACGCCGACGGUGAAAACAGGUUGCUGGGGAUGUGCCGACGCUGAGGCACGAAAGCCAGGGGAGCAAACGGG
rnacentral:rRNA from 1 species